rnacentral:rRNA from 1 species
CCCGACCUCCAUGGGAGGUCCAGCCUGCCCAGUGAAAAUUAUUAAACGGCCGCGGUACCCUAACCGUGCGAAGGUAGCGCAAUCACUUGUUUCUUAAAUAGAGACUAGUAUGAACGGCAUCACGAGGGUUAUGCUGUCUCCCUCUUUUAAUCAGUGAAACUGAUUUCCCCGUGAAGAAGCGGGGAUAAACCUAUAAGACGAGAAGACCCCAUGGAGCUUAAAACUCAACAUACAACUACUCUCUUUACACCAUUUAAACCAGUAGCCCUGAAUGCUAGUUUUUGGUUGGGGCGACCACGGAGUAAAACCUAACCUCCAUGACGAAAGGAAACAACCCUAAUCUUAGAGCCACAGCUCAACUAAUCAACAAAUUGACGUUUAUUGACCCAAUUCUUUGAUCAACGAAC